GUUUCCAAAUACACGAUUUAUAAGCCCAGAGAUCUUUUAGAUCACUAGGCUGUAAUUUAAUGCACAUAAAAGGAAUGGUUUAAUAGCUAUCUUUGUCACCUCUAAAAUGUAGACACUAUAGUCUCUUCCGUUUUAUUUUCCACCAAAAGCAUAUAUUUAAAUGUUAAUUUAUUUUCUUUUCAUUUGUAGGACCCAACCACGUCACUCUCUGCUAAUUUCUUCUCAUUGCUGAGGCAAAAGACCAAAAUUUUACUUAUUUGUUAAAUUUAAAACACCUCUAUAAUACUAAUUGUGUAUUAGGCACUGUUCUAAGAACUUUACAAAUCUUAGCUCAUUAAACUCUAUAAGGUAGGUGUAGUCAUGCAUUGCUCAAUGAUGGGGAUACAUUCUGAGAAAAGCACUGUUAGGGGAUUUUGUCAUUGUUUGAACAUCAUAGAUUGUACUUAUACAAACCUAGAUGGUGUAGCCUACUACACACCUAGGCUAUAUGAUACUAAUCUUAUGGGACCACUGUAGUAUAUGUCAUCCAUCAUUGACUGAAAUGUUGUCAUAUGGCACGUGUCUGCACUAUUAUCAUCACCCUUAUUUUUCAGAUGAGGAAACUGAGGCACAGGAAGGUUAAGUAACUGUGUGCUGUAACACAGCUAGCAAGCCUUCAUCAUCUGGCUCCUGCCUAUGUCUCAGACCUCAUCUCGUUUCUCCCUAUUGCUCUCUCUUUUUGGUUAUCUUUGUGUCUCUGUACAAGUAUAUUGAGCCUGCAAUACAUUCUUCCCUGCUAUUCACUUGUUUGGUUCCCAGUGGUGGUAAUACUAUAUUAUGAAUGUAUUUGAAAACGGCAGAAUUCUAACAGCCACAAUUCCCUUGACAGUGGGAUUUGAUGAUUCUUAAUCAAAAGGCCUAAGGUGGUUUUUAUUUACCUCUCUGACAUCUGUGCUUCCCUGAGUCUUCCGCAUCUCUGUUGGGAGGACAACUGUUCACCCCUAUUUUAGGCUUCCCUAUUUGUAUAGGGAGGACCACCAUACAUACUUGUCUUCUCUUUUCCCUGUCUCUUUUGGCAGGACUACUAUACAGCCAUGCGUUAAGGCCUAACACCUUGGAGUUUUCCUUGACUCCUCUCUGGCUCCCAUACCCCACAUCCCAUCUCUCAGUGGAUCCUGUCAGUUCUACCUUCAUAACCCGUCCUGAACCUAACUACCUCUCUCCUCCACCUCUACUGGAUUAAUCCUAGCCACUAUCAGCUCUUGCCUGGACCACUGCAAGACCUCCUCUUGGUCUUGCUUCUUCUUUUGCCCCUUCCAGUAUACUCUCCACAGGCAGCCAGAGUGAUCAGGUCACUCCUCUGUGCUCACCUCCAAUGGCUUUUAGUAACAUCCAGAACACAAUCCAGUGUCUAACCAUGGCUUAUGAAGUCCUUCAUGAUCUUGCCCACAUCUAUCUCUUCAUCUUCAUUUCAAUCAUGUUUCCCUUGCUUGCUGCUUUCAGGUCCACUGGAACCCUUCCUUCUGCUCUAGGAGCACUCCAAGAGACCUCUCACCUCGGACACUAUGUUCACUUGCUAUUCCCUUCUGGAACCCUCUUUCCUCAGAUUUGUCCGUGGAUGCUCCUUCUAGUCUUCAUGUCUCUGCUCAAACUUUAUAUCCUCAGAGAGGCCUUUUCUGUCCCAUUGUUCUUUCUCCCCUAACCCUGUUUAUUUUCCUUCAUAGUACCUGACCUUUUUUUUUUUUUUACUACAUAUUUAUUUGCUGUUCUCUGUCUAGAUGUACAGGGUUUCAGCACCUGGAAAAAUACCUGGCACACAUUAAGAGUUUAUUAAAUAUUUGAAAUAAAUGGAUGGAUGAAUUAUUGAAGAAUUGAAAAUGAAUACGGGAGAAGAGACAAUUAGAUACUUUCAAAAAGAUUUCUGCAGAGAGAAGCAAGGGAGCUAGAAGGCAGUCUAUCUAGGGAUGAAUCACUCCCCUUGAGAACAAAAGGAAAUUUAACUACUCAGGGAACAAAGUGAGUCCAAGGUGAGGGAGCCCUCCCUGCCCCUCUUUGUUUUAUCUGCCUGUUGCCUGUCUGUGGGGCCCCCAUCCUGCUGGUGGGAGGCUUAGGGAUGAGUACCUGAUUUGCCACUACCAAGCAGAACUGCUGUGCUUUCCUCUCUUCCUCUGUGCUUGGGGUCUCACUGGGAGUGGGCCAACAGAAGUUUGGUGCACAGGAUGGUAUUCUCUCCCAGGAUGGUUUGGAACGCACUGAGAGCCUAAUUCAUCCACUUGGGAGUGAGGUUCUUAAGGAGAAACUCAGUGCUUUGGCUGAAUAGCAGAGCCUUUUUCAGAGAAACUCUCCAAGGAGUUUCUACACAGGCUUCCUAGGGUAAAGCAGUUAUUUGUAGCAGUUUUAGGACUCUUUAUAUUCCAGUUUCAUCUCUUCUCAUUGAUUUUGCCAUUUGUGGCUUAUAAUGGAAAUGAAAAUAGCUGGUGCAGAUGGAAGAGUUACAAGAUGCUUCUCUGUAUCUUGUAGCUGGGGCACUCUUGGGGAAUCAGCUGAAUGAGUAUUUGCUUCCUAAACUCUUCUCUGGGUUUCACCAAGUUGGGGUCACUUGCAAGGUGAUCAUCAAUUCUGUGGAUUGGUUCAUAUUGUGCGGUGUGAAAACAGAUGAAAGAAUCUGGACCAUCCCCCAACAUAAAAGCUUAGACGAGAACAAAAAUAUAUAAGUGCUGACAAUUUAUACUAAUUUUAAGAAUCCACUUUGCUAAAACAGGAUGAAAAAAUACAUUACAUUGGAAUAACUUCCCUAUACCCAGUUAUUAGGGGACAAUGAAAUGUUCAUUUUACUGUAGCUUGAUUAUGAUGCUGACGUCAUAAUCAAGUCAAGAUAUAUAUGGUAGCAUCUCAUGUAUAUAGAGGUCAGCUUGGAACACAGCUUUGAUCUGGAAAAGUAAGCAUAAAAGGUCUGUGAUGAUAUGAAGCAGGAGACUCAUGUCCCUGCAUGAGAGCCAGGCCCCUUAGUACUUCCUAUUCCUGAUUCCCAUUCCCAUUUAGUAUUCUAGUCCCAACAUUUUCAGUUAUCUUCUUUUCCAAGCCCAGAGCAGCUAAGAAGUAGAAAAUUGGAAGAGGGCAAAGAAGGAUGCAAGUCAAAGUCACACUGAUGGGAGACAGGAAUGACAGCUGACAGCAAGGGAGGUGACAGCAAAGCUUAAGCAGCAAUGCAGGACUGCCAUAGACUUUGUCUGCAAGUCUAGGACAGGCAGAGUGGAAGUCUGUAUAUGGAAGAGGUAUUUUUCAAAGGAAGGGAUGGCUUUCUUUCCUUUUUUCUGAAGAUGGUGCCUCUUCCUGCAUUCAGGGUCCCAGUCCCAUCAGUCAAUUUUGAAUCCUUACUCCAUAAAUCCGUUCUCUUUUCCUUACUCACGUAUUUAACCUUUUCUACUCAACUUAUGAAUAGUUUCACAACUCUUCCAUCUUAAGCAACACUCUCCAACUUUCCAUCCUGAAUCUGUUGCCCUUUCUCCCCACAACACCUCAUUCCUGUCAAGUUUUUGCAAGAGAGGUCCAUACUUCCUGUAUACACUCUCUCUCUUCCUUUGACUUGUCUCCCCUUGCAUCCUUGGUUCUGCCCUAGUAUUCCUCAGAAGUGCCCUCACUUUCAUACUCUGGCCCUAAUCACAAAUAAUCACCUAAUGCCAAACUCGGUGUGUAUUUUAAUGCUCAUUUUAGUUAACCUCUCUUUGGCAUCUUAACCAUUCCUUCUUUUCAGUCUACCUCUAUUUGUUAACACUCAUGACCACUCACCUUGGAAACCGUCUCUCCCGGGUCAAAAAUAGAAAAGAUCAUCUUUGUUCUAAACUGUUUUCUCCACCUGUAUUUCCUUGUCUUGAUGAAUGCCAGCACCAUCUGCUCUGUCACCUGAGACUGAGCCUCAACUCCCUCUACUGACAAGCUAGUCAAGCACAUUCUCCAUGUCUAUAAUUAGGUUUAUGAUUUCCUUUUAUUUCUUUCAUAGAGUUUCUGUUCCCCUGCUUAGAUUGCCCAUCUGUUCUUUAUAUAUUGUCUUCCUAUUUUUUCUCUUGGAGGCCUUUACUUAUUAAUCAUAGUCACUUUCAAUUCCCUGUAUGAUAAUUCCAACAUUUAUGUCACAGCUGAGUCUGGUUCUGAUGAUGGUUUUUUCUCUUCAGACGGUGUUUUUUCUUGCCUUUUGUCAUACCUUGCAAUUUUUUGUUGAAAGUUGGGUAUGUUAUAUUGGGUUAUAGGAACUGAGAGAAAUAGUUGUUUAGUGGGAGGAUUUAUGUUUAUCAGGCUAGGAGUUAGGCUGUGUUUAAUGUUUAUUUUAGCUGUAGGUACCACAGGCUUCAGUUUCCUCUAGUCCUUGUUUGUUCUCUCUUUUGGCUUUGAGGCUUCUCUAUGUACUGCUCCUUGGAGAGAGUCUACAUCUUGUACUUCUUUUAGCUGUAAUCCCCCCUUAUUACACUGGAGUUGGUUGGUGCAGUAGGAGGAUGUGGAGGAGGGGGUGUGUUCUAUGAUCUAACAGGGAGCCUAUGUCUUCAGGGUGUGGCCUUCACAAGGUUUCUGUCCGUCCUCCAGUGCUAUAGCCCUUUCCCCCUUGCCCCAUCUUCCAUUCCUGGGGGCAGAUUUCCCAGUCUAUUUCCUUGAAGCCAAGUCAUCCCCCCACCACCAUGUUUAUGUGUGGCAGGAAGGCUGGAGGACACUGGCGUAGGGAGGAAUUCCUUUCCCCCAGGUAGGUCUGUGACUGCUUCAAUCUGCAGAAUGCAGUGAAACCGAUGCCAAGUGAUUCUGAGGCUCCGUCAGAAAAGGCCAUGCAGUGUUCAUCUAGUUCUUUUGGGAUGCUCACUCUGGGAGAAGCCAGCUACGAUGUAAAGAAAUCUCACCAAUCUGAGAACUGCCAUGUUGGAGAGGCCACACCUGCCCACUCUAGCUGACAUGCAGCUGAGUCUUCAGAUGGCAGCACCUUGAGUCUCUGCAGGCACUGAGGAGCAGAGACAAGCCAUGCUCCCUUUUCCUUCUCCAAAUCACUGACCUACAGAAUCCAUGGGAAUAUUAAAAUCGUUAUUUUAUACUACUUAGUUUUGGGGUAUUUGGUUCACAGCAGCAGUAACUGGGACAAGCUAGUAUUUUCCAAUUUUUUUUUAAAUAAUUAUCAUUUGGGGAACACUUUAAAGCAGCUUCUGACGUUUCACCCAUGGACAUUCUAACUUAAAUAGGUCUGGCCAGUGGUGAAAUGGAGAAAUCUAUUUUCAACAAAUAGUAAGGAAAGUUAACCAUAACAAAAUGACUCCAAGAUGCCACCUGAUUUGUUGGCCAGUGAAUUUUUCAUGACAAACGUAUUUCUUUGAUCACUUGGAAUGGGCUCACAGGCCCAUUAUUAUCCUUAUUUUAAGAUUGUAGAACACACCACUUACAGACCUAUCUAUUUUUCUAGGCCCACUUGUGAAAAAGCAGUGAAGAAGAAAAGGCACUCUCAUUAAGUACUAAAUCAGAGCAGUCAGAGGGAGACCAAUGAGGUUUGGUGUAGGCGGGUGUUUUAUGGGGGAGGUGGGGCUGGAAUAGGCCUUGGAUACUGACAGUACCGCAACUGGCUUAGGGGAGAAAGAAGGUGUCACAGGUGGAGUACAGAAACAAGAGGGAGGGCAGAGAGUAAGUGAGUUCCCAGAUUCCAUCACAGCACCAGGGCACUCUAUUGCACUGGUUUACUACUAUUAUUACUUCUAACAACGACAAUGGCAGCAACUCAACCAUCUGUUAUUGAAUGUGUCCUUUAUGUGCAUUGCCCGCAUUCGCCCACAUCGGUCUCCUGCCUUUUUAGUGCCAGGAUCACAUCUUACUCCUCUUUGUAUCCAGGAUUAGUGCCAUGUGUGCUUAGCACAUGGUGGGCGGGCCCACACAUGCUUGUUGAAUAAUAAUAAUAAAAAAUGAUGAGGCAGUAUUUAUGGGCACUUACUAUGUACCACACUUUAAAUAGAUUAUCCUAUUUAGUCCUAACAGCAAAUCUGUCUUAGAGUAAGAUCAUUAUCUCCAUUUUACAGAAGCAAGAACUGAGGCAAAAUAGUGACUUGCCAAGCCAUGCAGAUUGGGAAUGGUGGCCCCUACAUGCUAACCUAGGUAGUUGGACUUCAGAACUUGACUCUGAAUGACUAGUAAAGCUGUAAAAGAGAAUGUACAGAGUCUGCCCCUCUUGACUCCUCUGUAGACUGCCUUUACCUGGAGCACUCUUCUCACUCUUCCUUGCCCAGUGAAUACCUGCUCAUCCCACACCGUUCUUUCCUUGUAGGGGCCUAGGCAUGACAGAGCCCCAAACUGUCUUCUCCCAUAGUCCUCCCUCUGUACUUCCUCUUUGUGUGUGUGUGUGUGAGGAAGACUGGCCCUGAGCUAACAUCUGUUGCCAAUCUUCCUCUUUUUGCUUGAGGAAGAUUGUCGCUGCGUUAACAUCUGUGCCAAUCUUCCUCUAUUUUAUGUGGGAUGCUGCCACAACAUGGCUUGAUGAGUAGUGCUAGGUCUGCGCCCAGGAUCUGAACCUGUGAACCCCAGGCUGCCAAAGCAGAGUGUGCAAGUGUAACCACUGCACCACCUGGCCUAUACCCCUCCUGCCCCUUUAUUACUCACACUGCUGUUGAAAUUACUGGUUUAGUGUCUGUCCUUCCCGCUAGACACAAGGGAAGGGCUUCUGUCUGUCUUAUUCCCUCACCACGGCCUCUCCAGAGCCCAGCACAGUGGCAGCAGAUGGUAGGCUCCCAGCUCCUUGUUAUCAAUUGAUAUCCUUUAUGUGGCAUAAUGUAUGCUACAUGCUACAGUGGGGGAUGUCGUAUACUCUAGUGCCUGUAGCGUUAGGUACCGAGGAGUCAGAAAGGAGGAAGCAAACUCCUUAUUUUUAUUUUCAGAGAGUCCAGUGAUUAAUGGGGGCAGACUGACAGUGAAACAGAUUUUGAGUGGUGGCUGAAGCAGAGAAAUAGUUAGGACAUGAAGCCAAGACAAGGAGAUCCUUGAGCUGUCCUUGCAGAAUAAGUCCUAGUUAGUCAGGUGGACAUGAGAAGCAGGGAUAGGAAGGACAUUCUAAGCAGAAGGAAUAGCAUGAGCGAAGGUACAGGGCAUGGAAGAACAGGGUACAUUUGGGCAAUGGCAAGUAGAUUGGUGAUGCUGGAGGCAAGGGUAUAUGUGACUAUCACAUUAAGUAAAAUUGCCAAAGGCAACAGGACAAAUCGUGAAAGACUUGAUCAGGUUUGAUUAGGUUUCAACUUUACCCUUAAGGAAUUGGGGGAGUCUUAGAUAUAACUCAUCUAGUAAAAAUUUGGAAAAGGUUCUCAAGGAGAGGGUUGAGUAAUAUGCGGGGAUGUUUUGAGAGGUCGCACUGAAUGGGUAGCACCUCUGACACUUAGUGGGGGACAGGCAUGGUCUAACUGUCCUGAAAUGCAUGGAACAAUCCUGUACAAAAUGCCAGUAGCCCCCCAGUUGAGAAACACUGCAUAAUAACAC
rnacentral:lncRNA from 1 species